rnacentral:rRNA from 1 species
UACGGAGGGUGCGAGCGUUGUCCGGAAUCACUGGGCGUAAAGGGCGCGUAGGUGGCGCGAGCAGUCCGUGGUGAAAGCCCGAGGCUCAACUUCGGGUCGGCCGCGGAUACUCUCGGGCUGGAGGGUGGUAGAGGCCAAUGGAAUUCCGGGUGUAGCGGUGGAAUGCGUAGAGAUCCGGAAGAACACCGGUGGCGAAGGCGGUUGGCUGGGCCACACCUGACACUGAGGCGCGACAGCGUGGGGAG